rnacentral:rRNA from 1 species
GUCGAGCGGUAACAGAUCUAGCUUGCUAGAUGCUGACGAGCGGCGGACGGGUGAGUAAUGCAUAGGAAUCUGCCCGGUAGUGGGGGAUAACCUGGGGAAACCCAGGCUAAUACCGCAUACGUCCUACGGGAGAAAGGGGGCUUCGGCUCCCGCUAUUGGAUGAGCCUAUGUCGGAUUAGCUAGUUGGUGAGGUAAAGGCUCACCAAGGCAACGAUCCGUAGCUGGUCUGAGAGGAUGAUCAGCCACAUCGGGACUGAGACACGGCCCGAACUCCUACGGGAGGCAGCAGUGGGGAAUAUUGGACAAUGGGGGCAACCCUGAUCCAGCCAUGCCGCGUGUGUGAAGAAGGCCCUCGGGUUGUAAAGCACUUUCAGCGAGGAAGAACGCCUAGCGGUUAAUACCCGUUAGGAAAGACAUCACUCGCAGAAGAAGCACCGGCUAACUCCGUGCCAGCAGCCGCGGUAAUACGGAGGGUGCAAGCGUUAAUCGGAAUUACUGGGCGUAAAGCGCGCGUAGGUGGCUUGAUAAGCCGGUUGUGAAAGCCCCGGGCUCAACCUGGGAACGGCAUCCGGAACUGUCAGGCUAGAGUGCAGGAGAGGAAGGUAGAAUUCCCGGUGUAGCGGUGAAAUGCGUAGAGAUCGGGAGGAAUACCAGUGGCGAAGGCGGCCUUCUGGACUGACACUGACACUGAGGUGCGAAAGCGUGGGUAGCAAACAGGAUUAGAUACCCUGGUAGUCCACGCCGUAAACGAUGUCGACCAGCCGUUGGGUGCCUAGAGCACUUUGUGGCGAAGUUAACGC